GGUGGGUAGUUUGACUGGGGCGGUCUCCUCCUAAAGAGUAACGGAGGAGCACGAAGGUUGGCUAAUCCUGGUCGGACAUCAGGAGGUUAGUGCAAUGGCAUAAGCCAGCUUGACUGCGAGCGUGACGGCGCGAGCAGGUGCGAAAGCAGGUCAUAGUGAUCCGGUGGUUCUGAAUGGAAGGGCCAUCGCUCAACGGAUAAAAGGUACUCCGGGGAUAACAGGCUGAUACCGCCCAAGAGUUCAUAUCGACGGCGGUGUUUGGCACCUCGAUGUCGGCUCAUCACAUCCUGGGGCUGAAGUAGGUCCCAAGGGUAUGGCUGUUCGCCAUUUAAAGUGGUACGCGAGCUGGGUUUAGAACGUCGUGAGACAGUUCGGUCCCUAUCUGCCGUGGGCGCUGGAGAACUGAGGGGGGCUGCUCCUAGUACGAGAGGACCGGAGUGGACGCAUCACUGGUGUUCGGGUUGUCAUGCCAAUGGCACUGCCCGGUAGCUAAAUGCGGAAGAGAUAAGUGCUGAAAGCAUCUAAGCACGAAACUUGCCCCGAGAUGAGUUCUCCCUGAGACUUAGAGUCUCCUGAAGGAACGUUGAAGACGACGACGUUGAUAGGCCGGGUGUGUAAGCGCAGCGAUGCGUUGAGCUAACCGGUACUAAUGAACCGUGAGGCUUAACCUUACAACGCCGAAG
rnacentral:rRNA from 1 species